ensembl:lncRNA
GUCUCCCUGGUCCAGCGCUACACAAAGGAGGCCAGAAGGUGAGUUCCACUGGUUCUGUUAGCUCAGCGCCUCCCGCAUGGCUCUGCAGCCUUGGGGCAGCCUGAGUGAGGGGUCCAGUAAUCCAGGUGGAAGCUUGUGUGGUCGAGCCUCUGACGUCAGAGGGCGUCCCUUCCACCAGGUUCCCUGGUCGGAGCACUCAGAAGCCCAUUCAGAUGCUCGGGGAGGCACACAGACCCCCUCUUCUGUGAGAAGGAUGGAAAGGAAGCCAUGGCUGUGUCUGUAACAUGGGGCUUUUUGUAGCCUUCCGGCCUAAGCCCUCUUCUCCACGUACACACUUGCCCCCGGUGAUGCCAUUGAGAAACCGUGGUUGAAUAGCAUCUUUCUACUGUGAUUCCCAAAAAUAUGCCUCUAGAUUGGAUGCUUCCCGAAGCUUAGAUUCUAAUGUUCAGCUGUCUACCAUGUCCUCCCCCCUGAUGCACAGUCACCUCAAACUUAAUGCAGUCUAGCACAGUUUUGUUUUGUUUUUCCCCAGGGCUCUUGGUUUAUACUCUGUAGACUGGUUGGUUCCAUGCCUAGCUUUCUCCAUCUCAGAAAAUGCCACCAACAUCCACCCAAAUCUGACAGCGAUCAAGUCCAGAGACCAGAACUAUCCCUAGAACCUCCUCAGGGCUGGUUUUCACAGGCUCCGUGAAAGGUGGACCCUGCACAGGACAGUUCCGAGGUCACACCCAGGCCUAUUGAGUGGGUUCUUGUGGCCUUAACCAACAAGGGAUCCUGCAGUGGGCAGAUUGCCCAGGACCUCACUCUCAGAAGUAUUGGAAAGAUUCUGCAGCAAUUCAGAAGAGCUCACAUUCUGCUUAAAUCCAGCAAAUUAGAAUUUUUUCCCUGAUUUUUCUUUGGGAAGCUGCCCUUCCUGUUACCAUCUGACCCUGUUCUCAGGUGAUGACCUUCACACACUGCUGCGCUGGUGUGGCUUCAGUGCAUGUCAGGAAGCAAACGUAAGAGAGUAGACAGGUUCUCUGUUCCUUUAUUUUCCUUUUUUUCCCAAAAUUAGGUAGUAUGUUUACAUAAUGAGGGGAAAAACUUGUGUUAAGAGAUUUCAUCCCAUAAAUGACCAAAAAGAUCGAGAGAGAUACUUGUUUAGGGUUUUAUUAUGACAGUGGCUAAAAACACAAAUAUUUCCCUACCUGAUUUUUUAGCACUAGGAAUUGGUGUGUUCUUAGUUUAAGUGGAAAGCUCUCCGGAGCCCCUGCCUGGUGCUGAUGUCAUGGUGCCACUAAGGGUGUGGGGAUGGAAUGUGCCUUCUUUCUCCAGCUCCUUGGAGGAGGGUGGACGGAUGCCAAGAUGACUACUUGGGUGCAGUCCCUAGAAAACAGCCAGGAAAGGCUUUUUUGAAACAGGACUAAUGGUUUAAGAGGAUGACUGUGAAAUGUUCUGCUCUUCAUGCAGUUCUUAGAAACCAGGAGAAAACUGAGCUGAAACUGGAGACAUUUUCAUCUGGAGCACAUUAGUCUAGAAGAAUGGUUCUUCUGUAUUUGACUUUUGUGAGCAGAGAUUAUUUCGGAAAAGUGACUUUUCCGUGCUCAAACGUGCUCUCAGACUUGGACAGGUCACUUUUGAUGUCCACGUGCCUGAGCGUCUGGCCCAUUCCGCAUCUCUCUUCACUGGGGCACCAGUCCUCAGGGUGGCAGGGUCCGUGGCGUGGGCUGCGCACCAGGAGUUUCACAUGCGCCCAGUGGGCUGGCAGGGACCCCCGAGGUCCAAGCACAGUGAGUGCGGUGCUGCUCGAGGACAGAAUUUGUCCACGCUCCUAAGGACCCCGGCAUUUGGGGCCGAGACGCCCAGCUGACGAACGACGCCAGGAGGGGUGGCCUCUGUUGUAGGGAUCGUGACUGAGGGCUGAGGUGGGGGCCGAGCUGUCCGGUGGUGGGAACAGACUCAGUGUUGUGUAUCUACUGUCGAGCAUGUCCACUCUUCAAGCCCUGACAGCUGAGGGGUCUGGACACUGCAGAACCCUCUGAUGAGAACUCACAGGACUGACGGGAUGUGGUAUGUAAAUGCAUAGAUUUUAAAGCCAAGUGUUUUUUCCUGUUAUGGUUUAUCACAGGAUGUAGAACUCAGUUCCCAUGCCCUUCGGUAGGACCGUGCGGUUUGUCCAUCCUGGAUAUAGUGUUCCCAGACUCCCAGGUCAUCCUUUGGCCACCAUCCCUCCCCCUCGGCAACCACAAGUCGGUUCUCUGGGUCUGUCUCUGUUUCGUAGAUGAGCUCAUCUGCAUCGAGGUUUAGCUUCCACUUAGGAGUGCCAGCACGAUAGCUGCCUUUCUCUUUCUGGCUUGCACAGCAUGAUCAUCUCUAGGUCCAUCCCUGCUGCCGUAAACGGCAUUGUUGGGUGCUUUUUUAUGGCUCCGUGAUCUUCCACUGCAUAUACGCACCACAUCUUUCUCCAUUCAUCUGCUGAUGGACAUUUAGGUUGUUACCGGGUCUUGGCUGUUGUGAAUAGUGCUGCCAGGAACAUACAGAUGCGUGUGCCCUUGUGAAUUCUAGUUUUGUCUGGACAUAGGCCUGGGAGUGGGAUUGCUGGGUGAUAUGGCAACCCUGGUUUUGGGAGGGACCUCCAUGCUGGUCCCCACGGUGGCUGCAACAGUGCACGUUCCCACCAAGAGUGUAGGAGGGCCCCUUUCUGCUGCAGUCUCUCCAGCAUUUGCUGUUUGUAGACUUGUCAGUGAUGGCCAUUCUCACCAGUGUGAUGUUUCAAUUUGUAGUUUUGAUUUGCAUUUCUCUAAUCAUUUCUGAUGUUGAGCAUCUUUCCAUGUGCAUAUUGGCUAUCUGUACGUUGUCUUUGGGUCUUCUGCCCAUUUUUGGGUUAGGUUGCUUUAUUAUUGUUGAGUUGUGUGAGCUAUCUGUAAAUUUUGGAAAUUAAGCCCUUGUUAGUAACAUC